GGUUAAGUUAACAAGGGCGCAUGGUGAAUGCCUUGGCACUAGGAGCCGAUGAAGGACGGGACUAACACCGAUAUGCUUCGGGGAGCUGUACGUAAGCUAUGAUCCGGAGAUUUCCGAAUGGGGCAACCCAGCAGUUUUAAUCAACUGUUACCACUAGAUGAAUUCAUAGUCUAGUUGGAGGUAAACGCUGUGAACUGAAACAUCUCAUUAGCAGCAGGAAUAUAAAGAAAUUUCGAUUCCCUAAGUAGCGGCGAGCGAACGGGGAACAGCCCAAACCAAAGUGCUUGCACUUUGGGGUUGUAGGACUGAACAUUUGAGUUACCAAAGAACUUGAUAGUCGAAGGAUUUGGGAAAAUCCGCCAUAGAUGGUGAUAGCCCAGUAGAUUAAAUCAAAUUCUCUCAGUUCAGGAUCCUGAGUACGGCGGAACACGUGAAAUUCCGUCGGAAUCCGGGAGGACCAUCUCCCAAGGCUAAAUACUACCUAGUGACCGAUAGUGAACCAGUACCGUGAGGGAAAGGUGAAAAGCACCCCGGGAGGGGAGUGAAAUAGUUCCUGAAACCAUGUGCCUACAAUAAGUCAGAGCGCGUUAAUGCGUGAUGGCGUGCCUUUUGUAGAAUGAACCGGCGAGUUAUGAUCCCGUGCAAGGUUAAGACUAAAAAGUCGGAGCCGUAGCGAAAGCGAGUCUGAAAUGGGCGUUUUGAGUACGAGGUUAUAGACCCGAAACCAGGUGACCUAUCCAUGUCCAGGUUGAAGGUGCGGUAAAACGCACUGGAGGACCGAACCCGUGUAAGUUGAAAAUUGCUGGGAUGAGGUGUGGAUAGCGGUGAAAUUCCAAACGAACUUGGAGAUAGCUGGUUCUCUCCGAAAUAGCUUUAGGGCUAGCCUCGGAAUUAGGAUCAUGGAGGUAGAGCACUAUUUGGACUAGGGGCCCGUCUUGGGUUACUGAAUUCAGAUAAACUCCGAAUGCCAUUGAUUCAUAUCCGGGAGUCAGACGAUGAGUGAUAAGAUCCACCGUCGAAAGGGGAACAGCCCAGACCAUCAGUUAAGGUCCCUAAAUGUAUGCUAAGUGGAAAAGGAUGUGGAGUUGCAUAGACAACUAGGAUGUUGGCUCAGAAGCAGCCACCAUUUAAAGAGUGCGUAAUAGCUCACUAGUCGAGUGAUCCUGCGCCGAAAAUGUACCGGGGCUAAGCAUACUACCGAAACCAUGGAUGCGACCAUUAGGUCGCGUGAUAGGAGAGCGUUCUAAGGGCGGUGAAGCAAGAUCGUGAGGACUUGUGGAGCGCUUAGAAGUGAGAAUGCCGGUAUGAGUAGCGAAAGAUAGGUGAGAAUCCUAUCCACCGAAUGACUAAGGUUUCCUGGGGAAGGCUCGUCCUCCCAGGGUUAGUCGGGACCUAAGUCGAGGCCGAGAGGCGUAGACGAUGGAUAACAGGUUGAGAUUCCUGUACUAGUUAAGUGCGUUUGAGCAAUGGAGGGACGCAGGAGGCUAAGAUGUGCAUUCUGUUGGAUUAGAAUGUCCAAGCAGUAAGUCUUGUGAAGAGUCAAAUGCUUUUCACUUUAAGGACAAGCUGUGAUGGGGAGCGAAAUUUAGUAGCGAAGCGUCUGAUGUCACACUGCCGAGAAAAGCUUCUAGUGAGUACUUAACUACCCGUACCGCAAACCGACACAGGUAGUCGAGGAGAGAAUCCUAAGGUGAGCGAGUGAACUCUCGUUAAGGAACUCGGCAAAAUGACCCCGUAACUUCGGGAGAAGGGGUGCUGAUCGCAAGAUCAGCCGCAGUGAAUAGGCCCAGGCGACUGUUUAUCAAAAACACAGGUCUCUGCAAAAUCGUAAGAUGACGUAUAGGGGCUGACGCCUGCCCGGUGCUGGAAGGUUAAAAGGAUGGGUUAGCUUCGGCGAAGCUCAGAAUUGAAGCCCCAGUAAACGGCGGCCGUAACUAUAACGGUCCUAAGGUAGCGAAAUUCCUUGUCGGGUAAGUUCCGACCCGCACGAAAGGCGUAACGAUCUGGGCACUGUCUCAACGAGAGACUCGGUGAAAUUAUAUUGUCCGUGAAGAUGCGGACUACCCGCGACAGGACGGAAAGACCCCAUGGAGCUUUACUGUAGCUUGAUAUUGAGUGUUUGUACAGCUUGUACAGGAUAGGUAGGAGCCAUAGAAACCGGAACGCUAGUUUCGGUGGAGGCGUUGGUGGGAUACUACCCUCGCUGUAUGACCACUCUAACCCGCACCACUAAUCGUGGUGGGAGACAGUGUCAGGUGGGCAGUUUGACUGGGGCGGUCGCCUCCUAAAAAGUAACGGAGGCGCCCAAAGGUUCCCUCAGAAUGGUUGGAAAUCAUUCGCAGAGUGUAAAGGCACAAGGGAGCUUGACUGCGAGACAGACAGGUCGAGCAGGGACGAAAGUCGGGCUUAGUGAUCCGGUGGUACCGUAUGGAAGGGCCAUCGCUCAACGGAUAAAAGCUACCCUGGGGAUAACAGGCUUAUCUCCCCCAAGAGUCCACAUCGACGGGGAGGUUUGGCACCUCGAUGUCGGCUCAUCGCAUCCUGGGGCUGUAGUCGGUCCCAAGGGUUGGGCUGUUCGCCCAUUAAAGCGGUACGCGAGCUGGGUUCAGAACGUCGUGAGACAGUUCGGUCCCUAUCCGUCGCGGGCGUAGGAAAUUUGAGAGGACCUGUCCUUAGUACGAGAGGACCGGGAUGGACAUACCUCUGGUGUACCAGUUGUGCCGCCAGGCGCAUCGCUGGGUAGCUACGUAUGGAUGUGAUAAACGCUGAAAGCAUCUAAGUGUGAAACACACCUCGAGAUGAGAUUUCCCAUUCCUUUAUGGAAGUAAGACCCCUGAAAGAUGAUCAGGUAGAUAGGUUAGAAGUGGCAGUGUGGUGACGCAUGAAGCGGACUAAUACUAAUCGGUCGAGGACUUAACCAA
rnacentral:rRNA from 1 species